GCGGCCAUAGUUCAGCAGCAGAACAUCUGCUUUGCCUGCAGAAGGCCCUGGGUUCAACCCAUGGAACUCUCCAAGUCAGGCGGCUGCC